rnacentral:rRNA from 1 species
GCGUGGGUAACCUGCCUCAUACAGGGGGAUAACAGUUAGAAAUGACUGCUAAUACCGCAUAAGACCACAGAGCCGCAUGGCUCGGUGGGAAAAACUCCGGUGGUAUGAGAUGGACCCGCGUCUGAUUAGGUAGUUGGUGGGGUAACGGCCUACCAAGCCAACGAUCAGUAGCCGACCUGAGAGGGUGACCGGCCACAUUGGGACUGAGACACGGCCCAAACUCCUACGGGAGGCAGCAGUGGGGAAUAUUGCACAAUGGGGGAAACCCUGAUGCAGCGACGCCGCGUGAGCGAAGAAGUAUUUCGGUAUGUAAAGCUCUAUCAGCAGGGAAGAAAAUGACGGUACCUGACUAAGAAGCACCGGCUAAAUACGUGCCAGCAGCCGCGGUAAUACGUAUGGUGCAAGCGUUAUCCGGAUUUACUGGGUGUAAAGGGAGCGUAGACGGCUGUGUAAGUCUGAAGUGAAAGCCCGGGGCUCAACCCCGGGACUGCUUUGGAAACUAUGCAGCUAGAGUGUCGGAGAGGUAAGUGGAAUUCCCAGUGUAGCGGUGAAAUGCGUAGAUAUUGGGAGGAACACCAGUGGCGAAGGCGGCUUACUGGACGAUGACUGACGUUGAGGCUCGAAAGCGUGGGGAGCAAACAGGAUUAGAUACCCUGGUAGUCCACGCCGUAAACGAUGACUACUAGGUGUCGGG